GACGAACGCUGGCGGCGUGCUUAACACAUGCAAGUCGAACGAUGAACCCGGAGCUUGCUCUGGGGGAUUAGUGGCGAACGGGUGAGUAACACGUGAGUAACCUGCCCUGGACUCUGGGAUAAGCGUUGGAAACGACGUCUAAUACCGGAUAGGACCUUGGAUCGCAUGAUCUGGGGUGGAAAGUUUUUUCGGUCUGGGAUGGACUCGCGGCCUAUCAGCUUGUUGGUGAGGUAAUGGCUCACCAAGGCGUCGACGGGUAGCCGGCCUGAGAGGGUGACCGGCCACACUGGGACUGAGACACGGCCCAGACUCCUACGGGAGGCAGCAGUGGGGAAUAUUGCACAAUGGGCGAAAGCCUGAUGCAGCAACGCCGCGUGCGGGAUGACGGCCUUCGGGUUGUAAACCGCUUUUAGUAGGGAAGAAGGGCUUCGGCUUGACGGUACCUGCAGAAAAAAGACCGGCUAACUACGU
rnacentral:rRNA from 1 species